UUAACCUACGGGGCGCAGCAGUAGGGAAUCUUCCACAAUGGACGAAAGUCUGAUGGAGCAACGCCGCGUGAGUGAAGAAGGGUCUCGGCUCGUAAAGCUCUGUUGGUAGGGAAGAAAGAUAGAGGUAGUAACUGGCCUUUAUUUGACGGUAAUUACUUAGAAAGUCACGGCUAACUACGUGGCAGCAGCCGCGGUAAUACGUAUGUUGCCAGCGUUGUCCGGAUUUAUUGGGCGUAAAGCGAGU
rnacentral:rRNA from 1 species